rnacentral:rRNA from 1 species
UUGUGACCACAGGUCAUGCGGGACUACCCGCUGAAUAUAACCAUAUCAAUACACGGAGAC